rnacentral:rRNA from 1 species
AACGAACGCUGGCGGCAUGCCUAACACAUGCAAGUCGAACGAGACCUUCGGGUCUAGUUGCGCACGGGUGCGUAACGCGUGGGAACCUGCCCUUAGGUUCGGAAUAACUCCCCUAAAGGGGUGCUAAUACCGGAUAAUUUCUUCGGACCAAAGAUUUAUCGCCUUUGGAUGGGCCCGCGUUGGAUUAGCCAGUUGGUAGGGUAAAAGCCUACCAAGGCUACGAUCCAUAGCUGGUCUGAGAGGAUGAUCAGCCACACUGGGACUGAGACACGGCCCAGAAUCCUACGCGAGGCAGCAGUGGGGAAUAUUGGACUAUGGGCGAAAGCCUGAUGCAGCAAUGCCGCGUGAGUGAUGAAGGCCUUAGGGUAGUAAAGCUGUUUUACCCGGGAUGAUAAUGACGGUACCGGGAGAAUAAGCACCGGCUAACUCCGUG